UUUUCGUAGCAUCCAAGCUAUAUUAAUCAAAAGUCUUGGAUCACUAUCCUUCAACGCCAUAGUCUUUUAUUUUUAUCCUCAGCUAUCACCAGCUCACCGCCAUGUUUUCAUAUAUAUCAGAUUCAUCAUUCAUCACUUUCCUAUACUGCCUGUAUAAUUUUCAAAACUCAAGCAAGAAUCAUGUCUUCGUCUUUCACUGCGCAUCUUCAAAAUGGUAAAGAAACUCUAUUGUUUCAUAGUCUGAUUUGAUUUCAAUAGAGAAAAUAUUUUCUUCUAUUAUUCCUUUAAGCAGAUAAGAAAACCCAAAUACCCAACACUGUGAUUCACAAAAUCAGAUGCCCUGAUAAAUUGAACUUGCUUAAUCUAAAAUAGAAUAAAAUCAAAUUAGCAACCCAGAAUGAAAUUAGAAGAGGAUUAGAGAUGAAGGUUGGUGAAACAGCUGUUGUCGAAUCGGAGAGGCGAAGGGAGGUGCAGCGGUGGCGUCGCUGCUGUCACGGCCGCGCUACUGCCGGCGCUGACCUGGCUGAGAAAGCGAGGGAAGAGAGAGAGGAGGCGGAUGGGCGGUGCUAGAUCUGGAAAAGGGGAGGCGGCGGCUGGGCUGUGCUGCUGUCGACGCGGGGGCGGCGAUGGCGGUGCUGCUGCUAGCCGGGCGAGCGACAGGGGAGAAGCGUGGUUGUGGCGGUGGCUGGCGGAGGUUUCGCCGGAGGAGGGGGCGCACGGUGGCGCUGGGUGUGUGUCUGGUGUUGUGUUAAUUGAGGAAGGAGAGGGUGAUACGUAUAUUAAGGGGGUGUAUUCGUUCUGGAAUUUGAUGGAUUUCUAUGGAUUUUAAAAGUCUGGGUGUAUUCGUUAAAGACUUUUAAAAGUCUGCAGAAAUCUGGGUGUAUUCGUUCAAGACUUUUAAAAGUCCAUAUAAAUCUGGGUGUAUUCGUUCCAGACUUUUUAAAAUCCAUACAAAUCUAGGUGUAUUCGUUAUUCCAUUGACUUAAAAUUCGGAAUGACUUUCAUGGAUUUCAUCCAAAAAAUACACACGACGAAAUCCGGUCAAGAACCACGAGAAUUGAAAUCCAUGAAGUUUUAAGCGAGCAUUGAGUUCCAGCGCCCACGGCCAAGAAGCCAGCAAGCGCUGGAACUCAGCAAUCGUUGAGAGUGUCCAGCCCACGCUGGAUUUGAGCAGGCGCUGGGUUCCCAGCGGCUCACUUAUCUGAGCUAGAACAGUAAAAUUCUUAAUCAUACUGUAACUCUUCUAUUAUAAAGGGCCAAAGUCCCGUGCGACUCACUGGAAACAGACGGUCUUAUACCUAGAAGACGUGCUCAGCAUUUGUAAAGGGGAGACGUUGACGGGGACCAUGACUGUGGCGCCUAAUAAGAAGAAUCCCCGCGACGUGGAUAUAACCAUUAAGUAUUAACUAAAUGGGCAGCACUGCCAGGCUACAAGAACUCAACAUUAUAGAAUGCGCUGAUCUCUUGUGUGUUAUGUUUUCCCUUGUGCUGCUGAUUCUAUUGGGAUCUUUGUGUAACAUUACAGUAGGAUUUGAAUCCUAUUUAUAUUGGAAUUUGGAUAUUAUUAAUUUUGUUUAUCUUUGGUUUUGCUUAGCUCCUCUUAUUACAUUGGCAUGGAGUUUGAAUUGUUGAGAUUUCUCAUCAUUAAAUGAUUCAGGCGUAAGCACAAGUUGAUGAGCAUCCAAAUUGGCAUUUUGGUCUGAACCCAAAGGUUUCCAAACUCGCUGGGUUUCCAAACUCCUCUUAUUACAUCCAAACUCGCUGGAACCCAGCGCUCGCUGGGUUUCCAGCGCUCGCUAGAACUCAGCGGUCGCUGGGUCUUUUCUAGCGGGCGCUAGUUCUCCACGGGCGCUGGUUUCAUGAAAUUCAAUUCUAAAAUUAUCCCGUAAAGUCUUCGAAAAUCAGUGAAAAUCGGGGUGAAAUCCAACCACGAAUUCUUUGAAAGUCGUCUGGAAUCUAUGUGAAUUCCAUGGAAUUUAAAUUCCAUGGACUUUUUAAAGUCUGUGGAAAUCCACAACGAAUACACCCCCCUAAGAGAGAAAUAAGAAAUUGGGCCUUUUAGGGCCUUAAUUUUUAUUUAAUUGGACUUUAAAUUCUGGGCUUAAGAUAAUUCUUUAAGUUAACUUAUGUAAUUUACUAAUAAACAUAUUUAGGCUUUGAUUUGGGCUACUAAUUUUUAUUAAACUGGAGCCUGAAGUAGGUUUUACGAGUUGAACAUAUCUUUAAUUAAAUAUUUAGUUGAAUUUUCUUUUAGUAAUCAUCUAUUUUUAUUAUUUGGACCAAUAAUUUAUCAGGCCAUAUAAAAUAAACUUUCAAGUAUUUCAAGUAUUUUUAAAUUCAGUUAGGCCCUUAUAUGUUAUUAUUUGAAUUUAUCUGACUAGGUGCGGCGCGACUAGGACAUGGAUUUUAAUUUGAAUUAUCAGAGUUAGCAUUCAAGUUCAAGUUUAAGGUGUGAGAUUUAUUUCAGUACAUGAUGUGGACCUGUGGUUAAUUGUUGUCCAUUUUAAUAUUAUGUGUUUGCCAUAUGUGUUGUAAAUUCAGUUAUAUCGCUAGGGGCCCGCUCAAUGGGUCCAGGACUUCACCAUCCUUGGUAUGCCACAAUGCGAUUUCAUGUUACAGUUAGGGUUGCAACCUAUUCGCCAGGGGCCCGCUCAAUGGGUCCAGGACAUUAAAGUCCUUGGUAUGCCACCGUGCGAAUUUCAGUUAUCAGUACAGUGCAGUGCGUAUGUGUUGACCAUUUUAUUAACGUGGACAAUGAUUGCAUGUUCCCACACUGAGUAUACUUUGUAUGCUCAUCCCAUAUUAAAACAUUUUCAGGUAUUUUUUUUUUUACGUUGGAGACGCGUGGAAGGUCGAAUGGGCGCAUCAAGUCAUUUAUCAAGUAGUUGAUUUGAUUUUUCAUCUAAUUUAAGUAUUUAAAGUUUUGCUUAGCACAAUUUUUACUUAAUACUUAGGUAUUUUGAUGACAUCAUUAUGUCAUGCUUUGAAACAAGAGAUUAAUUGUCGAUUUUAACUCAAAGUUAGUCUUUGAGUAUAUUAUUUAAAAGUUGAUAUCCUUUUAAAAGUGCUUGUAAAAGUUUAUUUUUUUUAAGGGUUUGCUCCAUUUGAAGUGAUUUCAAAAUAUUUUAUUUAAUACUCCCUCCGUCCACCAAUUCAAGGCCUACUUGCCUUUUUGGGACGUCCACAAAAACAAGGCCUACCUAUUUUUGGUAAGUUUUUAUUCAUUAUUUAAUCAAAAAAGUCAAAGAUUCUUUACAAAAAAGUGGGACCCUUUCUCCACUCAACUAAUAAAAAUACACUUCUUCUUAAAAAGUGGGACCCUUUCUCCACUCAACUAAUAAAAAUACAUUUUUUUUAAAACCCUUGUUUUUCCCCUAGGCCUUUAAUUGGUGGACGGAGGGAGUAAUUUAUUUUGAAAGAAAAUAUAUUUUAUCAAACUUCUUAUUCUUUUGAGGUCUUCCGCUAUUAAAAGUUAUUUAAAUUCAUAUUUAACACUUUAAUUAGAUUAGGGUGUUACACCCGCAGGCGAAUCAACUGCAAC
rnacentral:lncRNA from 1 species